rnacentral:rRNA from 1 species
GGGUCAGUAGGUUGGUCGUGCCACCGGUACGUACUGGUCUCACUGAUUCCUCCUUCCUGAAGAACCGUAAUGCCAUUAAUUUGGUGUUGCGGGGAAACAGGACUGUUACUUUGAGAAAAUUAGAGUGGUUAAAGCAAGCUAACGCUUGAAUACAUUAGCAUGGAAUAAUGAAAUAGGACGAUCGAUCCUAUUUUGUUGGUUUCUAGGAUUGACGUA